rnacentral:misc_RNA from 1 species
UCGAAUCCCGCAACGAGCAGACCGCGCACACGUAUACGCUUCCUGACGGGAAGGUGCGCGACGCGCCCCCCGUUGGUUGCCCCGCACCCGCCCGAACCACGCGCGAGCGAGUGGAACGGGCGGGGCCAUCAACAAACCCACGGCGCAGAAAGGCGCCAAGGAUCACAAACGCGGAGUGCUGCCCCCGUCGUGCACCCGUCCGUGGUGUGCCGUUCGGGGGAUGUGCGUCUCCCAGGAUUGCAUACGGAAAAAAU